rfam:Plautia stali symbiont DNA, contig: contig33193.
CGCCGCGCCCGCUGCGCGGAGUCUUUUUUCCACUGCAACAAGGGGUCUGCCCGUG